rnacentral:snRNA from 1 species
AUCGCUUCUCGGCCUUUUGGCUAAGAUCAAGUGUAGAACUUCAGGGAAAUCAUAACCUCAGGUCAUCAGAUAGUUAAGUUCUGUGACAUAACAAUUAGCCUUAUCAUUAUUAGUAAUAAAAAUUCUGAGAUUUAAUUUGCCCUUACUUUAUGCACUCAUUGCCUACU